UAGGUUGUGUUUAUAUUUUUACUCAGUAUA
rnacentral:piRNA from 1 species